rnacentral:RNase_P_RNA from 2 species
UGUAGGCAGGGAGCUCAUCACGGCAGAAAUGCUGAGGAAAGUCCAGCCACCAAAGAACUUCAGUUCGAAACAAUUUGCUCUUGGAAAAGAGUUCCUGAAAAGGAAGGCAACCAUCCAGAAACGACACGUCCUUGAUUUAGGAUGAUAAUGGCGAAAUUUCCUGCAAGGGAAAUGAGUUAACCCAUGGACAUUUUUCAAGGGAACGAUGAAACGAUGAGCCCCAAAUGGUGCAAGUCUAUAAAGACGCAUAGUUGAAUCAUGAGCACUUCCAUAGGCGAAGAACAGAAGCUGGCUUACCCCUGUCUACA